GUCUACGGCCAUGCUACCCUGAACAAGCCCGAUCCCAUCUGAUCUCAGAAGCUAAGCAGGGUCGGGCCUGGUUAGUACGUGGAUAGGAGACCACCUAGGAAGACCAGGUGCUGUAGGCG
rnacentral:rRNA from 1 species